UGGGGGUGGAUCGGGAGCGGCAGGGUGAGAUAUAACCGGGAUACAGCGGGGAGGGGGGGGAGAGUGACCCCCACCGCGGAGCUGCUUCUUCCCUGCCUUGCCCCAGUGGCUAGAAGAAAUGAUCCGGUCGAGGUCGUUCACAGGAAGCUUAACUAAGACCAUAAUAACAACGGUCGUUGGCUAUGGGGUUGAGAAACUCAUAGAAAUUAUGUUCGAAGAAUCAAGAAGGAGAAGGGAGAGGAAGACCACAAAAGUCCUGGUAUGUAAGAUAAAUGAAGACUUCCGGGAGCUCACAAAAAAAAUUAAAGCUGUACAAGAACAUUUCAAA